CAGUAAUAUUUAAAUUAUAAAAUCAUUUUACUUCUUUAUGCUUCUUGGUCCAUGAAAAGCGGGAACCCUGUGAUGCUGAUCAUCAGUAAUAAUUAGUGAGAAUGGCUCAGAGUCUGAACUGCACAGGAAAGUGUUAUUAAAUACUUCAACUCUCAGCUCAUUUUUCAAGUUCCUGGAAUAUGUUUGAUUAAGAGAUAUGGAUUCAGCGCAGUGUUUCUGGAUGAAAGACUGUCAGGAACAGUGAAGGCUGUAGUUGAGGUUGGGAAAAUGCCAGGAGGAACACUGACUCAAUGUUACUCUUAAUAAUCCACGCUUUGUACCUGCAAUGACCGUCUAUACUCUUGACAAUAAAGCUUCUGAAAAGGGGGUUUUCACAGCGAUCAAAGAAACAUUUUGGAUUCUCUGAACCUUUCUUUGUGUAAAGAACUUUUUAAUAAUCUGAAGAACCCUUUUCCACCAUAAAGAACCUUUUGUAAUAAAUGUUCCAUGGAUGGUAAAGGUUCUUUAUCGAUAUGCACUGAUAAAGAACCGUUAUUUUUAUGUUAUGACUUCUGAAAUUUCUUUCUAUUUCUCUUUUUCUUUCUUUUUUUUUCUAAACUUUUUUUCAAAUUCUGUUGAACCUACUUCUCAUUCUUGUGUAACAAGCUUUUUUUUUCCCCUCAUGUUUUUACUUUUUUAGCUUUUGUCUUUUUAAAUAUUUAACUGUUUAAUCUGAGGUCUAUUUAGCUUUUUAAGGGAUCCGUCAGUUCGGUAAAGUUGGCAAGAUAUUCACAGAUUCGACUUUUCCGGAUCAAUAACUCGCGAGCAAAACGUUUUUAGUACACGAAUUAUGCCUCUUUUCACUCGUAGUGAUGUAGUAAACGAGCUACAAGCGAG